rnacentral:rRNA from 1 species
CCUACGGGCGGCAGCAGUGAGGAAUAUUGGUCAAUGGACGAGAGUCUGAACCAGCCAAGUAGCGUGAAGGAUGACUGCCCUAUGGGUUGUAAACUUCUUUUAUAUGGGAAUAAAACGUUCCACGUGUGGGAUUUUGUAUGUACCAUAUGAAUAAGGAUCGGCUAACUCCGUGCCAGCAGCCGCGGUAAUACGGAGGAUCCGAGCGUUAUCCGGAUUUAUUGGGUUUAACGGGAGCGUAGGUGGAUUGUUAAGUCAGUUGUGAAAGUUUGCGGCUCAACCGUAAAAUUGCAGUUGAAACUGGCAGUCUUGAGUACAGUAGAGGUGGGCGGAAUUCGUGGUGUAGCGGUGAAAUGCUUAGAUAUCACGAAGAACUCCGAUUGCGAAGGCAGUUCACUGGACUGCAACUGACACUGAGGCUCGAAAGUGUGGGUAUCAAACAGGAUUAGAUACCCCAGUAGUC